rnacentral:rRNA from 1 species
AGAGUUUGAUCCUGGCUCAGGAUGAACGCUGGCGGCGUGCUUAACACAUGCAAGUCGAACGAACCUUCGGGUUAGUGGCCGACGGGUGAGUAACGCGUGAGAAUCUGCCCUCAGGGGGGGAUAACGGCUGGAAACGGCCGCUAAUACCCCAUAUGCCGCGAGGUGAAAUGAAUUUCGCCUGAGGAUGAGCUCGCGUCUGAUUAGCUAGUUGGUGUAGGUAAUGGCUCACCAAGGCAUCGAUCAGUAGCUGGUCUGAGAGGAUGAUCAGCCACACUGGGACUGAGACACGGCCCAGACUCCUCCGGGAGGCAGCAGUGAGGAAUCUUCCGCAAUGGGCGAAAGCCUGACGGAGCAAUACCGCGUGAGGGAUGAAGGAUUUUGGUCUGUAAACCUCUUUUCUCAAGAAAGAGGUUCUGACGGCACUUGAGGAAUAAGCAUCGGCUAACUACGUGCCAGCAGCCGCGGUAAU